CCCUGAUGCAGCGACGCCGCGUGGAGGAAGAAGGUCUUCGGAUUGUAAACUCCUGUUGUUGAGGAAGAUAAUGACGGUACUCAACAAGGAAGUGACGGCUAACUACGUGCCAGCAGCCGCGGUAAAACGUAGGUCACAAGCGUUGUCCGGAAUUACUGGGUGUAAAGGGAGCGCAGGCGGGAAGACAAGUUGGAAGUGAAAUCCAUGGGCUCAACCCAUGAACUGCUUUCAAAACUGUUUUUCUUGA
rnacentral:rRNA from 1 species